rnacentral:ncRNA from 1 species
AUGUUGUAUGAAAGGAGAGAAGGUUAGCACUCCCCUUGAUAAGGAUGGAAGAGGUCCUAGUGACCUUUACAACACGCAUAUGGUUAAGGCAUUGCCACUUACUUCAUGGCAUCUAACCAAGUUUUUUU